UUCCCUGCUGGCCGGCGGCCGUGCCGUGUGAAUUCCCGCACAUUCCCGAAUUUUACGUGGGAGGAAGGGAGUGCGAGGCACACGUAGGGCAUGGCACAGGCAGUGUAGCAGAGUAAGAGAUGAGGCUGGGGUUGAGAGCCGGUUAAAGUCUCUCUUAGGGCUAUUUAUCGCGCGGGUGAUGUGCGUUUCCCUCGGGGUUUGGGUAUUGGCUUGGAAACGAAAUUUUGUGUUUCGUGACGGGCAUUAAAAAAUGGUCAUGCCUGCUCACCAACCUGCUGAAAGGUACGUGGAGUGAGGGAAGUAAAGAAACCUGAGACUUGCUGGUGGGAGAGGAUGAAUCUUAGCGGCCUCUUGGUGAGUGAUACCAGAGCUGGAUCUCAGCCCUGUGAGCGAGACCGAGACCAUCCAGCUUCUGAAGGAAACUACAGGAGAAAGGGAUAUGAAUUGAAUCCUCAAAUGGCAUUUGUGAAGAGGAGUUUCAUAAUUAAUUUCCUUCUGCUUUGCCUGAUUCUCUGCAAUUGGAGCUGUACCUUUUGAUAACUGGGAAACUUCUGUUCCAGUGAGUCUCCAAGUGCUCCAUUAUGACAGAGAGCUAGCCCUACCUGCUGCAUCCGGAAAGGAAUCCUGCUCUCAGAGAAAAAUGCAGUUAUGGAAAUCUGUCUUUUAAAUGCUGCCACAAAAGGAUAAAGCGCACUUUG